GAGGGUCGCGAGGCCUCCUACUGUUCUUAACCAACCCGCGUACCUGGCUGGAAUCAUGCCUCUGCCUCGGCAGCGGCCCCAGGGGGGGCCUCUUGCCCGCCGCUGCACGCAGCGGUGGGUGCUGCCGGCGGCAACCAAACCAAGCAACAUUGUAUACAUAUAAAUUAUGAAACCUAUUA
rnacentral:misc_RNA from 1 species